UGUUGUCCAGUCACUUGUGCAACAAUGUCAUGGUGCUGUACUGACUCAAUUUCUCCUGUAUAGAUAAUUGUGAUGUUACCUCACUUAAUCUACAAGCACAAUCUUGUUAUGUGUGGUUAUUUAAUGAUAUUUUUUUCAUUUGUCUACACAAGAUUUCAACUGAGACAGAGGGUCAAGCAGCCGUUUUGAUUGGAUACUGUUGAGAUUUCAACUGAGGCAGAGGGUUACCAUGCGGUCUUGGCAUCUGACAGCCUCAAAGAUGUUGAAAAGAUUUCAACUGAGGCAGAGGGUU